GAUCCACCUCAAGACGCUGGUGAUCUCAUUCUGCAAACUCACUGCUCUGCCGUCUCAACUAAGUGAAGACGUAGCACCAUGGGUCCCAAGAAUGUUAUUAAGGACGGUAGCAAGAAGAAAAGGGAGCCGCUUUCGGUUUGGUUUUCAAAGCAUCCGGUGCCGAGAGGAAUCAUAAAUUAAGGUUAUACCACCUGCCCUUGCUGCAGCACCUGGACAUCUCACACAACAUCAUUAGCCAUCUGAGUGACGACAUCAGGAACCUCAGAUCACUGCGAUAUUUAAACAUACAGGGAAAUCAGUUGACGGAUCUACCAGCUGGCCUGCUUCGUCUCCCUCUCACUCAUCUAAAACUAGACAUGGGUGGAACACACUCACGGCUGUCACAGCAGAACACACACUCUCACCAGACAUGCCCUGUGUGCCUGUAGCCGCUCACUCUGCCCAGCUUUCUCUAUUAAUUUAUUUACAUUUUAACAGUGUGUUUAAUUUGUUUCUCUCCUCCGAAA